rnacentral:rRNA from 1 species
GAUGAACGCUGGCGGCGUGCUUAACACAUGCAAGUCGAACGGAAAGGCCCAAGCUUGCUUGGGUACUCGAGUGGCGAACGGGUGAGUAACACGUGGGUGAUCUGCCCUGCACUUCGGGAUAAGCCUGGGAAACUGGGUCUAAUACCGGAUAGGACGAUGGUUUGGAUGCCAUUGUGGAAAGUUUUUUCGGUGUGGGAUGAGCUCGCGGCCUAUCAGCUUGUUGGUGGGGUAAUGGCCUACCAAGGCGUCGACGGGUAGCCGGCCUGAGAGGGUGUACGGCCACAUUGGGACUGAGAUACGGCCCAGACUCCUACGGGGGGCAGCAGUGGGGAAUAUUGCACAAUGGGCGCAAGCCUGAUGCAGCGACGCCGCGUGGGGGAUGACGGCCUUCGGGUUGUAAACUCCUUUCGCUAGGGACGAAGCGUUUUUGUGACGGUACCUGGAGAAGAAGCACCGGCUGACUACGUG